GUUCACAAAAUGGAUCUGGAACGAUUGAGGAGAAGAAUGGAGCGACUGCGGGCACACCACAACAAAUGUGAAGCGUCUGCAUUAAAGGCAGUGGGAGAAGAGAAGUCAGCAAAGGUGAAAGUCCUCCAUCCACCUCGGCCUCACAGAGACAAAGAGGAGGAGGAAGAGCAGAGAGAAAAGGAGAGUCAGAUGAAGGUAUGAUCUGAAUUUGACACACUCAUCUUAGUUAAUGGUUUGUGCUGAUGUUUGUAUUGUGGUAGAUCUGAGAUGGGCACACAGUUUCUUUUUCACUCAGCAAGCAGUAAUGACUCUGACAACAUGAAUUUAAUCAACAGUACAACUCAAGAUUUUACAGAGAUGCUUUCACUUCAGCAGUGCACACACACACCUAAUUAUUCUCACAUUCAUUAUGGGCAGUGCGUUUAAAGAUGAAAAGCCUCUAAACUAAUUUAACUAUUUCUGUUUCCAUUAAUGAAAAAUAAUAGAUGAAACAUUACUAAACAUGUUUACUGUCACAACAUCUCCCUGAAGCAGUGUUCAUGACAGUAAAGUCUCUCUCUACUUGAGGAUCCCUUACAGGUGCUGAUGUUGGUCUGUUGCACUGAU